GAAAAGGAGAUGGAAACUUCUACACUGUCAGGGUUGUCUAGACAGAGGUGGGGCCGUCAGGAGAGAGGCGCACCUGUCAGUAGGGAGGGGGCGGAGGCAUUUCGUGUAUCUUCCUCAACUGGCCGCCCUCUGUGAAGACUGGAAUUUCAGGUUUGAUGCUCACAACAACCACAACAGCAUACUGUGGCAAUUAUGAUCCGCAUUUCAUAGAUGAGCAAACGGACGGACACCCAGGGGUUUAAAGUAGCCUGUCCAAUGCCUCACAGAGAAGGUCCUAGAAACCAGGUCUCCUACUGUCCGGCUUUGUGUUCUUUCUACCACCCAAAUGGCAACUUCAGUUGUAUUUCUCCUGUGGCUCUCACCAACCCGACCAGCCAAACCCUUCCAGUCAAAUCCCAGAUAAAAGGAACACUGCUCCUUCUCAUAUACCAUGGAUGGAAGGGUACAUUGGCAUAGCCUUUUUAUUUAAAAGGGCAAGCUGGCAACGCCUAGGAAAUUUAAAGUGGCAUGUGCCACUUGACCAAGCGAUUUCAGCUCAAGGAAUUUGAUUAUGGAUACAUUCACAAAAACAUGCGAAGAUAUGUUCUAGUGUGUUCGUGGCUGAGUCUUAGGUUUGUGGCAAGUAGAAUCGGGGGACUGAGGCUUCCCCCAGCUUUUUCCUGCAAUCCCCACCCUGCGGGCCAUCUGGCUUGUCCAACUUGUAAAAGAACAUAGCCUCUUUCUUCCACGUGCAUAGCAAAAUGACGAAGACAUGGGGUAUUUGGAUAACACUGCAGCUGUAUUCGUCUCUCCUUUUUCCCCCUUUGCAAACAUAACUCAGUCACACUUCAAAUUAAGUGGUCUCAAGUGUGAAUUUGAGAACAGUUAAUAUGUGCACACAGGACGGGUUGACCAUCACAGACGUGUUUAAUAGAUGCAGAUCUCAAUGUGCUUUUGUUCCAUAUAAUUAAGCACCUGUGGAGCCUCAUAAUCAAUCCUUAUUUUGUUAUGAUCCAGGAACGCGUUGCAUUCAAUGUUCUCUGGUGUUCAUUUGAUCAGGUCAUUUAUGAGGAUGGAACA